rnacentral:tRNA from 1 species
GGAGAGGUGUCCGAGUGGUUGAAGGUGCCAGACUCGAAAUCUGGUGAGGCUUCACGGCCUCCGAGGGUUCGAAUCCCUCCCUCUCCGCCA